CACAGCGUCCAGCUUCCAGCUCUUUGGGCAGCUGAGAAACAGCUUGCUCUGCACUGCUGUUUUACAGCCUACCGGGAACAUGUCUUACAAAGGCCUGUGAAACGCAGUUUCUUCUCAGACCUGAUCUCGGUGAAGUAGAAAUUCUGCUCUGCCGUGUCCUGCAUGGGCCUAGAGCUGAAAGGGACAAAGUUCUGCCUUUAGCCCUCAAGGGCAGACUGGUCCCACAGCGUCCGGCUUCCAGCUGUUUGGGAAGCUAAGAAAUAGCUCACUCUGCACAGGGCUUUUACAAGCCUACCGGGAGCAUGUCUGACAAAGGCCUGUGAAACGCAGUUUCUUCCCAGGCCUAAUCUCGCUGAAGUAGAAUAUCUGCUCUGCCGUGUCCUAUUUGCCCCUAGAGCUGCAAUUCACAAAGUCCUGCCUUGUUUCCACAAGGGGAGGCAAGUCCCUCAGCGUCCGGUUUCCAGCUCUUUGGGCAGCUGAGAAACAACUCGCUCUGCACAGUGCUCCUACAAGCCUACCAGGAACAUGUUUACAAAGGCCUGUGAAACGCAGUUUCUUCCCAGGCCUGAUCUCGCUGAAGUAGAAGUUCAGCUCUGCCGUGUCCUACAUGGGCCUAGAGCUCAAAGGGAGAAAGUCCAGCCUUGUGUCCUCAAGGGCAGAGAGGCCCCACAGCGUCCGGCUUCCAGCUCUUUGGGCAGCUGAGAAACAGCUUGCUCUGCACUGCUGUUUUACAGCCUAACGGGAACAUGUCUUACAAAGGCCUGUGAAACGCAGUUUUUUCCCAGGCCUGAUCUCGCUGAAGUAGAACUUCUGCUCUGCCGUGUCCUACAUGGGCCUAGAGCUGAAAGGGACAAAGUCCUCUGUUGUGUCUUCAAGGGCAGACAGGCCCCACAGCGUCCGGCUUCCAGCUCUUUUGCAGUCUAAGAAACAACUCGCUCUGCACAGGGCUCUUAAAGCCUACCGGGAACAUGUCUUACAAAGGCCUGUGAGACGCAGUUUCUUCCCAGGCCUGAUCUCGCUGAAGUAGAACUUCUGCUCUGCCGUGUCCUAUUUGACCCUAGAGCUGCAAUUCACAAAGUCCUGCCUUGUUUCCACAAGGGGAGGCAAGUCCCUCAGCGUCCGGCUUCCAGCUCUUUGGGCAGCUAAGAAACAACUCGCUCUGCACAGGGCUCCUACAAGCCUACCAGGAACAUGUUGAGAAAGGCCUGCGAAACGCAGUUUCUUCCCAGGCCUGAUCUCGCUGAAGCAGAAGUUCAGCUCUGCCGUGUCCUACAUGGGCCUAGAGCUCAAAGGGAGAAAGUCCAGCCUUCUGUCCUCAAGGGCAGAGAGGCCCCACAGCGUCCGGCUUCCAGCUCUUUGGGCAGCUGGGAAACAGCUUGCUCUGCACUGCUGUUUUACAGCCUACCGGGAACAUGUCUUACAAAGGCCUGUGAAACGCAGUUUCUUCCCAGACCUGAUCUCGCUGAAGUAGAACUUCUGCAAUGCCGUGUCCUGCAUGGGCCUAGAGCUGAAAGGGACAAAGUUCUUCCUUUUGUCCUCAAGGGCAGACAGGUCCCACAGCGUCCGGCUUCCAGCUCUUUGGCAAGAUAAGAAACAGCUCACUCUGCUCAGGGCUUUUAAAAGCCUACCAGGAGCAUGUCUUACAAAGGCCUGUGAAACGCAGUUUCUUCCCAGGCCUGAUCUCGCUGAAGCAGAAGUUCAGCUCUGCCGUGUCCUACAUGGGCCUAGAGCUCAAAGGGAGAAAGUCCAGCCUUGUGUCCUCAAGGGCAGACAGGCCCCACAGCGUCCGGCUUCCAGCUCUUUGGGCAGCUGAGAAACAGCUUGCUCUGCACUGGUGUUUUACAGCCUACCGGGAACAUGUCUUACAAAGGCCUGUGAAACGCAGUUUCUUCCCAGACCUGAUCUCGCUGAAGUAGAACUUCUGCUCUGCCGUGUCCUGCAUGGGCCUAGAGCUGAAAGGGACAAAGUCCUGUCUUGUGUCCUCAAGGGCAGACUGGUCCCACAGCGUCCGGCUUCCAGCUCUUUGGCAGUCUAAGAAACAACUCGCUCUGCACAGGGCUCUUAAAGCCUACCGGGAACAUGUCUUACAAAGGCCUGUGAGACGCAGUUUCUUCCCAGGCCUGAUCUCGCUGAAGUAGAACUUCUGCUCUGCCGUGUUCUACAUGGGCCUAGAGCUGAAAGGGACAAAGUUCUGCCUUUUGUCCUCAAGGGCAGACAGGUCCCACAGCGUCCGGCUUCCAGCUCUUUGGGAAGCUAAGAAACAGCUCACUCUGCACAGGGCUUUUACAAGCCUACCGGGAGCAUGUCUUACAAAGGCCUGUGAAACGCAGUUUCUUCCCAGACCUGAUCUCGCUGAAGUAGAACUUCUGCUCUGCCGUGUCCUGCAU
ensembl:lncRNA